UACAGAGGGUGCGAGCGUUAAUCGGAAUUACUGGGCGUAAAGAGCGUGUAGGCGGUCCGGUAAGUCCGCUGUGAAAGUCGGGGGCUCAACCCUCGAAUGCCGGUGGAUACUGUCGGGCUAGAGUACGGAAGAGGCGAGUGGAAUUCCUGGUGUAGCGGUGAAAUGCGCAGAUAUCAGGAGGAACACCUAUUGCGAAGGCAGCUCGCUGGGACGUAACUGACGCUGAGACGCGAAAGCGUGGGGAGCAAACAGG
rnacentral:rRNA from 1 species